rnacentral:rRNA from 1 species
AGGGAGGCCCUAGCACAGGUGCUGCAUGGCCGUCGUCAGCUCGUGCCGUGAGGUGUUGGGUUAAGUCCCGCAACGAGCGCAACCCCCGCCGUUAGUUGCCAGCGGUUCGGCCGGGCACUCUAACGGGACUGCCCGCGAAAGCGGGAGGAAGAGGGGACGACGUCUGGUCAGCAUGGCCCUUACGGCCUGGGCGACACACGUGCUACAAUGCCCACUACAAAGCGAUGCCACCCGGCAACGGGGAGCUAAUCGCAAAAAGGUGGGCCCAGUUCGGAUUGGGGUCUGCAACCCGACCCCAUGAAGCCGGAAUCGCUAGUAAUCGCGGAUCAGCCAUGCCGCGGUGAAUACGUUCCCGGGCCUU